GAGGGUAUAGCUCAAGUGGUAGAGCACAUGCUUAGCAUGCAUAAGGUCCUGGGUUCAACCCCUAGAACCUCCA
rnacentral:tRNA from 1 species